CAGCAAUCAUGAUUCUAAGUUUUGAAUUUAUAUUUCCUAGAUUUUUGUAUAGUUUUACCAUGUAGAUAUGGCUCUCUAAACAUGAAAGUUUUGACUUUUAAAUUUACAAAAAUGGUAAUAUAUGUUUUCUACCAUUUUUAUUCAACAUUAAACUUUAAGAUUAAUUUAUGUUGUUAAAAUAGUCUCACCACUGUGUCUUUUGAGCUUUAUAUACAUUACUUCACUUAACUCUCAGAAGAUCAUCACAAAGUACAUAUUUUUAUUGUCAUAUUAAAAGGUAAGAAAUCAAAGUUAAGAAAUUUGAGGGAAAGGCCUCAAGGUCACAUGUCUGGAAGAUGACAGACCUAUCUCAUCUUAGUAGCUGCACCUCUUUGACUCUUAACCAUACAUUAUUUAAUAGCAUCAUUCAUACUUCUGUAUAGCAAACGAGCUCAAGGAUAAAUUGCUUUUAAGGUUGUUAUAUCCACAUAAAACACAUGAGGAAAGUGGAGGCAUUUCCUACGGUUGCCUGUUGUGGAUGGCAGAAUGAUGGCCUUAUCAAGAUAUCUAUAUCCUCAUCCCUGGAACCUGGGAAGACGUUGUUAUAUGAAAAGAGAGAAUUAGGGUUGCAGAUAAUUAAGAUAAUGCCCUGAUUUUAAGGUUAGCUUUAAAUGUAGAAGAGGGAGGCAGAAGAGUAAAUGAAUAUACUUACUUGAGUAAAUAAAUUUCUAAUGUGGUUUUAAAAAUUCUGACUGCUAGUAUAUUGCAUUCUCCACACACUGUAUUUUUUGAAACUUUAAAGUUUUUAAUUAGUAAUUUUUAUGGAUGCAAUACAUUAACAUAGUUCAAAAUUCAAAAGAUGUAAAAGAACAACAGUAAAACACAUAUUAUUUAAAAUACCUGAUUUACAAUUAUACACUUUCUUUCCUUAAGUGCAACCUGUGUUAUCAUUUUCUGUGACUACUUUCUACAUAAAGAUUUGUUAUAAAACCAAAUGUGCAUCUAAACUCAUGCACACACCCUCCUUUUUUGCAUAGUUGAUAGCAAUUAUGCACAUUGUUGGACAGUUUUUUAACAUCACAAUGUAUCUUAGAAAUCAUUACAUGAGAAGCUUUCUUGUAUUUUUUAACCAACUACAUACAUUUGUAUUACAUUGAUACACCAGGAUUUAUUUAACCAUUUUCCAAUUGAUAGACAUUUAGACUGUUUCCAGGUUUCGCUAUGUCUCACACCCUAAUAAUGUAAACAAAGGUCUGUUUUACCUAGGCUUUGCCAACCCAUUGUGUACUCACUUUUUCAUCUUUAUCAAUAUGAAAAUAGAAAAAAAGUCAUCUUAGUGUAAUCUUUAUAUUUUAUUAUGAGUGAAAUGAAUAUUUCUCAUCCUUUAAGGUUUCUUUGCAUGUCCUCCCCUGAGAAAUCUCAUUGUAGCUUAUGCUCAUUCUUCUAUCAUUAUGAAUUUUUCUCAUUGUUGUAUAGUAGCUCUUUAUAUAUUAUGAAAAAUGGCUCUUUCUCUGUAAAAUGAGUAGAAAUAUGUUUUCCAACCUGGCAUGUAUGCUUUUUUUUUUGUAGGACUUUUAAAUUGUUUUAUAGCUGAAAUUUAAAAUAUUUUUUGGUAAAUCUAAAACAUGGUUUUAUUUUUCUAUGCAAAUAUUUGAUGUCUGAAGUUAAUCCUAAUGUAAAGAGUGAAGUUUAUUCUUAUCAUUAUUUUUUUAAAGGUGACAACAAUGUUUUACCACUUAUUUCAAAUGCCACUUCUAGCCAAUCCAAACUAUGAAUGUAUUUUUGCCUCACAUUUCAUUCUAUGUGUUUCUUCUUGUUCACCUAAUACCAUCAAGUGCUCAUUAUUGGGUCUUCCAGUGGAGCCCAGACAAUAUUCUGGUUGCUAAAAAGAAGGUCAAUGAGGUCAGUGGUAACCCAGAGGUUAUCACAUAUAUGGGGUCUUUUAUAGAUAACAAAAAGGAAGUCUUGCUUCUUCCAUUUUUUAUUUUUUGGAGAGGCUAUUAAUACAAGGGAAUCUGGGAUAAGGAAAUAGAAGGUGAUGGAAGAGAUGGCAUGGGGUAUGCUUUUCCAUCUGGCUUAGACAGAUAGUUUUAAUAUCCAAUGGAAAGAGGGAUAGAGCAAAGGAUAUAUAAAUUCUGUCUUCAUAAAGACUCUGAAUCUAGAGGCAUGAAUACUUCUUCCCUGAAGUUCAUAUGGUAGAUUGCAAAACAGAGUCAGCAGCACAGCCAUUCUACUCCAAAUCUUCACCCAAGUCCUAGUACAUCAUGGAAUAAUGCACCAUCGUUGACUGAUCAGAGUGUACUUGUCAGUCUUUCCUCCACAGCAUAUACAAGUAGUCAGAACUAGCUCUAAGCGUGAUGAUAAAGUUCUCUGUUUAGAAGGCUAAAAUUAAAUAAGAGAAGAUUUUCUUUCUGAGAAUUUGUUUUUUUUUUUUCCCCCUCCAUUGCUGCGACCCCUUCCCUGAGUGUCUAAAAAAUGAUACCGACAUGAUGGGGUGGAAUUGGAGAAGGCUCUGAGCUACAGACAUUAUUCACAAACCUGUUAAUUGCGCACCAGGAUUUUUGUUUAUUUUGGAUGCUGCAGCUACACUCUGGCUACUUAAGACUACGCACAGGAUUUUAACAAGAUGGAAUACAUAGAGAAGAAAAGAGAAAAGGAAAGCUUUUAUGUAAGCAAAUUUGAAAGCAGCAUGGGAGAAAAAUAUUAAACCCAUGCAAGCAUGAGUUGUAAUUUUCAUAAAUUUUUGCAAUAUCAAAAGAAAAUUCUGGACAAUCAAUGUUUGUAUCUUUUGCCCCUUCUGUAUUCUUUGUGCAUGGCUUUUUUUUUCCUCUGAUAUCUUGAAGAGACUUCAGGUCUGCGAUUUACUAUCAGCACGAAGAGAAAUAUAUGGUAAGACUUAUGAAACUAAUUUCCUAGAUAAUUUUUAAAAUUCAACGAGUUUUCAAACUAGUAGAAUAAAUGUAAUUUACUCUGAGAAAAAUGGUGAUUGUAUAUUUUGAUCAGGAAAAUGCUGUAAUACAAGCAAUUGAUUAGUCUGAUUAUUUAGUGGGCAUUUAUUGGUGUACAGGGGAGAUUGAAUUUGAAAGCACAUCUUCAUUUUACAAUGUAUACAUAUUUCAAAGCAUCAUAUCAUACACAAUAAAUAUUUACAAUUUUAUUCGUCAAUUAAAAAAAUUAAAAAAGAAAAUGCAUCUUCAUUAUUCAUUUAUUCACUCAUCAAUUUAUGAAAUAUUGUCAAAACCUCCUAACUGCACUCAGGCAUUGUGCUCAGCAUAUAGGAUACAGAGGCACCAGAGAGGUACAGUCCCUAUUUUAGUCAUGCCAAUAAUCUAGCAUCCAGGAAACCAUUAGAAUGAUGCCAUCAAGAUAUGAUAAAGGCCUGACCUAGAAAGACAUAUUUUUUAAAAGUUCCAACUUGAAAAAGGCCUAAAGAAGAAAUGUUAGGCCUUAAGGACUGACUGUGAAAAAGAAAGAAGGAAAUCAAACUGACUAAAAAAGAAACUUAAAAGAAAAUAUUUUUUAAAAAAAAUUUAAACAUUUUAUAACAAAUUAUAUCUGAAUGGUUAUAUCACUAACAUGCUAAGGUAUAUCUUAAGUUCAUAAUUGAUAUUAUGCUUAGAAUUUAAAAUCACUCUAAUUCAAUCAGGCCAAAACCAGUUAUUCUUGUAAUAAGUCUUCUAUUAUAUAUGCACUUUUUCUUGAGAAACCCAAAGCAAUAUUCUUGCCUACACAUCCUUUAGAGAUGGAAACAGGGAAAUAAUUGAGAGUUAAGUGGACAAUAAAAAGGGUAUGAAAUCCUUGGACCUUAUUCAUGAAUACCCUUUCACUCUUCCAUUAUGCUCCUAAUAAAAUACCUUCAAGGAGCACAACUUAAGCAAUGGACGUCCAUCAGUUUUAUAAAAGUUUGUGGCUACAACCAAAUAAAAUUUUAUGAUAAGCUAAGCUACAUGAUGUAGAAAAGUUUUGUCUAAGAUUGAUGGAUACAUAGUGAUUAGCUAAGUAUUUGGAACAAUACCUCUAACACAGUUGAGAAAUGUUAGUGUAGGAGAAAUAGUCCCACUAGGAAGAAGAGUUAGUAAAAGAGCAAGAGAGUUGACACAGUGUGUAGGAUGUGGCUAGUUUAGGCUGCUGACAGAGGACACCUUCAGUCAGGGACUCCAUAAGAGAAACAGCCCUGACUAUUUCUCACUUAGGAGAAUGCAAAGGGGGAAAUCAAGGGAAAGAAUGAGAAAGCUCCACAAGGCACAAGAGUGGUGCAGGGAUGGAUCACAUACUCUGCUAGUCUUAAAACAAAAUCUAAACACAAUUUUGCAUACUCAAAUUACAGUAAAUAGAAGUGAAAAUGUAGAAGAAAUAUGAGAGUAUUAAAAACAUUCUAGAAAAAUAAAGAUUAGGAAACUUCAUCCUAAAGAUCCUGAGACAGAUAAACUUCGGAAAACAAUUUAUUACAAAAAGUAGAAAAAAGAAUGUAAGCAAGUUGGAAUUCCUGCUACGACUUAGAAGCGAUAGUGGUUAGAGAUUAAGACUAUAGAAAAUGAAACUAGAUCACCUGGUCUGGAAACGGGCCAUACAUACUGCUUACUAGCUGUGACCUUGGUUAAAUUUAUUGUAAUUAAGAAACUCAUUUCACCAUGAAAUAAUUGCUUUUUGACUUGUAGAAAUGAAGACUGUAGUCUCUACCCAUAUUUUCUUUAUUCUUAUAGCCUAUGAAUUUUUAAAUAAUUUAACUAUUUGUCUUCUGCC
rnacentral:lncRNA from 10 species